UAGGGAAUCUUCGGCAAUGGACGAAAGUCUGACCGAGCAACGCCGCGUGAGUGAAGAAGGGUUUCGGAUCGUAAAACUCUGUUGGUAGAGAAGAACGUUGGUGAGAGUGGAAAGCUCAUCAAGUGACGGUAACUACCCAGAAAGGGACGGCUAACUACGUGCCUG
rnacentral:rRNA from 1 species